UUUAGAGGAGAAAAUAAAAGGUUACGAGGAGAAACCGCAGAAGAGGGCGAUGAUCAUAUGUUCUGAUUAAACCCAGAUAUUCAAUCUUCUCCGAGUCCAACUUCAAUUCAAUCUCUCUUCGAUUCAAUCUCUGUUCGUCAAAUAUACUUAUGAUUCAUUUUCCAAGGGUCUCCCAUUGAAAUUAGGGUUUCCCCAUAUAGUAAUUUAAACAACAUAGAUUGAAUUGAGUAAAAUUGGAUUGCAGAAUUGAAAUGCUUCAACUACACAAAAUUUCUAAGGGUCGGAUUGAUGUUUGAAUCAACAGUAUCAAAUUGGGGACUUCGAUUUUCCUUUUCCAGAUUCAGGUACUACAAAAAAAAAACCACCGGGAGACAAGACAAGUAGUAAGUCAUCAUAACAUCGGUACCAACUUGAAACGAUUUCCUAAGAUGAGACGCCCUUCAAAUUUAAGAACAUCAGAACUCAAAGAUAAGGAUUGGAGUAGUAUAGUACUUGAUUGUUUAUAUCUUUGUUAUUGAUUUUUGAGGCGAGACUACUUUGUUGUUGUUUGAUACCUUCGUCGUCGAUCACUUUAGGCCACAUAACAGGGCCAGGAGUUUACAGGCAGUUUAUGUGAAACUGCCUUAUAGAAAUGGGGUAUGCACUAAUGAAAAUUUAGCAUGAGUGUGUUCGGUUGUGCCACCAGUUAAGUUCAAGGUUGAUUGUUUGUAAACAUUCUUUAGUAUAUACUUUGGAAUUGUCUAAUAUGAGCGUAGAAGGGAAAAUUACUUGCAAACACAUAAUAUAGCCCAUACCGUACUUAAUUGUAAAUCUAGACACUUAGAAAACAGAAAAAAUGUACCGUAGUACUUACAUGAACAAUCUAAUGUUAUUAUUCUCAUCAUUUAAGAAGUAUCAUUUUAUGAUUAUAUCUUUUCUCUAAUCUAUUUGUUACCUUGAAUUUCGCUUUGAUUCCCAAAAGCCAAAUCUUCUAGCAAGCUCGACUUCUAUUCAUUACAGAAGCCUGAAGUUCCCAGAGUCAUUAAACAAGCUCGACAUCUAGACAUGAGAAACGAAAGGAAAAGCGAACCCACAAAGCGUCGGAAAGCAAACGAAAGUUUAAGGACCCGGAAUAAAAGAGAACCAGACUAUAGUGAGGUUGCAUUUUUUAUUACGAAUUUUUUGUGCAUUGCAUGUGCCUACAGAACAGCACGGCAGGUGCGUCGCACAUGCGUAUUUUCUGUAAUUUAUGAAUUGAGACUUUAGAUGAAUGCAUAGGAUAGUUUACAUGUGAACGGCUUGGCGGUGAUACAGUUUGGGUUUGAUGUUGCAGGUGUUGGUUAUGAUGCGUACCUGCAAUCAAUUUAUUCAUUUUUUUUACAUUGAUUAUGUUAUAAAAUUAUUGACUCUCUUAAUGGUUUCAGCUCAUGUGAAUUCUCUGUUAACUCUCAAUUCGACUCUCUGAUACUAAAACUCUUAUUAAACUCUCAAUUUGACGUUGUCACAUUAGUUGUUUGUGUAUAUGCUUAAGAAAAUAUUCCCUCUUUAGUUUUGGUCUGUGAAUUCAUUUUUUAUUCGACCCUCCGAUUUAUUUUAGUUCACUCUUUGUUUUGACAGAUGGAUUCACUGCAACAUAAAGCUUUGGGUUCUCAUCCAUGUCGAAGUCUAAGAAAUUUCGAGCUAGCUCGACUUCGAGUGCUAGAGAAAGAAAAAGAAACGCAAUCUCAACAAAGAGAUGCUCACUUGCAGUAGAGCGGACUUCUUCACAGAUUAAAACAAUAUUCAAUAAUUGAAUUCGAAAGAGAAGCGCUUUUAGAAAACCAUUGUAGUGCUUAUUUCAGUCGAAAAAACAGAAUUAGAUGCGGAUACAUAGCAGAAAAAAGGUCACAACUCCCUACUACCACUCAAUGUUGAUGGCAAGACCCUGAAGUUAAGCAGUGAAAGAAAUGGCAGGCGCAUCGCGCGUAAAAACCCUGGGAAACAUGUAUACGUCCGUGUGGUUCAGGUGUACGUGCACUCGUGGUCAAAACUCUUACCUGACCAAGGGGAAUGGAGAAGCCGAGAUUGAACAAAGGAUGAACUACUUAAUUCCAAGGGAAUAAUUGCUGAGAAGCAAAUACUUGGAGGAAGGACGAUAAACAGGGAAUUUUUCUCAAAAAGAGGAUGAUCAGAAUUAUCUUCAAGAAGGUAGAACUGGAGCGAGGCUCAACAUAUUUUUAAGAUCAUCAACAACAAAACAACAAAAAGAAGAAAUAAAGGAAAAACAUACAACCUUGACAGCACUCUCAAGUCACACUUCUUGAGACUAUGAGCAUCCAUCUUAGACUACAAGAAGAAUGCUCUAUUGAGCAGUCAUGUUGUAUUCAGAUGAGCAAUUUGCUCAUCAAUAUUGACUUCUUUUUCUCUCUUUCAAGAGGAUUUAUAAAAAAAUAACUUGACUUA